GCCAGGUGCCUUGGCAUGUGCCUGUAGUCUCAGAGACUCGGGAGGCUGAGGUGGGACCAUUGCUUAAGCCCGGGAGUUCUGGGCUGUAGUGUGCUAUGCUGAUCGGGGUCCACACUAAGUUUGGCAUCAAUAUGGUGACCUCUUGGGAAUGGGGGACCACCAGGUUGCCUAAAGAGGGGUGAACCGUCCCAGGUCAAAAACAGAGCGGGUCAAAACUCCCAUGCUGAUCAGUGGUGGGAUUGCGCCUGUGAAUAGCCACUGCACUCCAGCCUGGGCAACAUAGCGAGACCCCAUCUCUA
ensembl:misc_RNA Metazoa_SRP Metazoan signal recognition particle RNA